rnacentral:rRNA from 1 species
UACGGAGGAUGCAAGCGUUAUCCGGAUUUAUUGGGUUUAAAGGGUGCGCAGGUUGUUGAAUAAGUCAGUGGUGAAAGUCUGUCGCUUAACGGUAGGAUUGCCAUUGAUACUGUUUAACUUGAAUAUGGAUGAGGUAGGCGGAAUGUGUAGUGUAGCGGUGAAAUGCAUAGAUAUUACACAGAACACCGAUUGCGAAGGCAGCUUACUAAUCCAUUAUUGACGCUGAGGCACGAAAGCGUGGGGAUCAAACAGGAUUAGAUACCCUGGUAGUCCACGCCGUAAACGAUGAUCACUCGCUGUUUGCGAUAUACAGUAAGCGGCUAAGCGAAAGCGUUAAGUGAUCCACCUGGGGAGUACGAUCGCAAGGUUGAA